ensembl:lncRNA
GUGGAGCUCCAAUCAGACAAGGAUGAGACAACAGUCACUUUGACCAAGAAACUCUAUUUGCAAACAACAUUGUUGAACUCAUCAUUUGUGUCCUGUCGUCCUGCUGGUCCAUGGGUCGUCUACAAAAUAAAAGCAUAGUAACCAUGUCCAAACCUUUUACAUUGUUUGCGUUAAAUCAUCAACAUCGUCCCCUCAAUGAGUCCCCCCCUCUUUAAAUUAAAACAGCUACGAGAAAUGUCACAUUUGCAUGAUUAAUAAGUUACAUUUUUUUGUAUACAUACACGUACAUGAAGGUAGCUGGAAGUGUCUCUCAUGCUGACCAACGCCCUACAGUCUAACUGUACACACUGCUGUACUCUCUGUUCACCCUGCAGCAACACUUCCACUGGCUGCAUACUCAUCCUUCUGCCACAGUGGGGGGGGGGGUCACCAAUCACCAAUCACCAUGGACAUCUCCUCACAUACUGAUAAAAGCUUAGACUUUCUCCUGUAUCAUUUAAUCAGAAUAGACUGUAUCUUAAUAUGCUGGUACCAGGUAUUCACAGUGACUCUCAAACAUCUCGAGGAGUGAUGCACACGGUGACCGCCAGGGGGCAGCGUGGCGCUGCUCUGCGAGAGCGGGCGUCUGACGCGCCCCUGGUGGUGGCCUUCCGUAAGCUGCAGGAUUCAGUAAGCUGAGCUUUCUUAUAUUGGAGUUCGGUUUCCUAUUUUUUUAUCGCCGUGGACUUCACGGCGGCGGAGUGAGGAAGAGCUGCUGGGGGGGGGGAGUUGGCACUGGCGUAGCAGACUUCAGCAUCCUCUCCUCUCUCUCUUAUUGCCGCGGAUGGCAGGGUGGGGUGUUGGGGGGAGAGGGUUGGGGAGGAGGGGUGUGGACAGUGAGGUAAGCUGGUCUGAAGGACUGAGCUCUGCGAUCCGCAUUCAUAGUCCGAAGACUGCAUCCCCUGGGAGGCGAAAUCAAGUGGGCCUUGUCCGAUGCGUUUAAUACAAAGAAGAAGUGCAAUAACGACACACACACACACACACACACACACACACACACACACACACACACACACACACACACACACACACACACACACACACACACACACACACACACACACACACACACACACACAUAAGGGUGAAUGACAAGGCCCUCUCCUAUUGCCUCAACGCUACCACUCAUAAGCCAUUCUUAAAGAGUUACCCGAAAUAGUCACUUUGAUCAUAAUCUUGACACAAAACAUACUUAAAUACAAUGAGCCUGUACUGCUGUAUAAGCUAAAGGUGUCAGUUUUAGACAGCAAUUUUUCCAAGGGAUAGGAAAGCUGCCUAACGGCAGUUGGUGUGUUUGUCCGGUAGGGGUCGCACUUCUACAGUAUGGCUGCUACGGUACUGAGGAGAGAGACGGCUACAGACCACACUGAAGGAAACGAAGAUCAGCCAAUCAUUAUCGGUACGCGCCUUUCCAAUCCUCAUCUAAAAUACUCUUAAAUACUAAACAUAAUACCAUUCUUUUAGACAAAAUCUAUUUUUUUUGUUUAAUUACUUCCAGUGAUUUUCUAUAUUGCAUUUCUUCCAUCUUUUGUAGGGAAGGCAAACGUUUCGAACCAACAUUAGGCCGAUAAAUGUGUCGAUGACAGUACUAUUAGAAGUGAAGAAUGCUUCCUGUCCUGUGAGACAAAGUCCGCCUGCGUCUCGUUCUGAAGCAGAGGCCGCCAUGACACCUCCCACCCCCCUUUCGUUCCAGAACAUUCGGAUGUUCCACACCAGAACCACACCAAGGGUUCUCUGAGGAACAAUAUAGAAUACUACUAUUCACAUACAUUAGAGGUGGAGUAUUUACAGAUUUGGUCGUUCAAACAGUUAACACAUGCGUCUCUAAGAGUCCCUUAAAUAGUAGCCUCCAUUUUGUUUGUAUGCAGGUGCCGUUUGCUUGGUCAAGUAUUUGAAGCAUGGCAAGAGACGCAUGCCCACGCAUGUGCAGCUCUCUCUCUAGCACACACUCACACACACACACAGGCAUACCAGCACACACACGCCCGGCCGCGGCGGCAGGUCUGGCUCCCAUUGGUCGGUCUCUGAUGCGGCGGCGGCAGCCCCGGCUCCCAUUGGUCGGUCUCUGAUGCGGCGGCGGCGGCAGCCCCGGCUCCCAUUGGUCGGUCUCUGAUGCGGCGGCGGCAGCCCCGGCUCCCAUUGGUCGGUCUCUGAUGCGGCGGCGGCGGCUGGAGGUUGGUUGCAUACGAGUCCGCAGUACAGCAUGAAGACCGUCUGCUACACCACCUCCUGGAGGAGCCAGACAGCUCCACCUCCUGGAGGAGCCAGUCUGAACACCUCCACCUCCUCCAGGAGGAGCCAGACAGCACCACCUCCUGGAGGAGCCAGACAGCACCACCUCCUGGAGGAGCCAGACAGCACCACCUCCUGGAGGAGCCAGUCUGAACACCACCUCCUGGAGGAGCCAGUCUGAACACCUCCACCUCCUCCAGG